AUUGAACGCUGGCGGCAGGCCUAACACAUGCAAGUCGAGCGAGAGGAGGACGGGAGAGUAAUGUAUGUGGAUCUUCCCGAAGGAGGGGGAUAACUACUGGAAACGGUGGCUAAUACCGCAUACUAUCUGAUGAACCCACAUGGGUUUAGCUAGUUGGUGGGGUAAAGGCUCACCUAGGCGACGAUCUCUAGCUGGUCUGAGAGGAUGAUCAGCCACACUGGGACUGAGACACGGCCCAGACUCCUACGGGAGGCAGCAGUGGGGAAUAUUGCACAAUGGGCGAAAGCCUGAUGCAGCCAUGCCGCGUGAGUGAAGAAGGCCUUAGGGUUGUAAAGUACUUUCAGCGGGGAGGCGUUACCCGCAGAAGAAGCACCGGCUAACUCCGUGCCAGCAGCCGCGGUAAUAC
rnacentral:rRNA from 1 species